rnacentral:siRNA from 1 species
CCAUAUGAUCAGCUUGUUUGGUAC